AACGCGAAGAACCUUACCUACUCUUGACAUCCAGAGAACUUAGCAGAGAUGCUUUGGUGCCUUCGGGAACUCUGAGACAGGUGCUGCAUGGCUGUCGUCAGCUCGUGUUGUGAAAUGUUGGGUUAAGUCCCGCAACGAGCGCAACCCUUAUCCUUUGUUGCCAGCGGUCCGGCCGGGAACUCAAAGGAGACUGCCAGUGAUAAACUGGAGGAAGGUGGGGAUGACGUCAAGUCAUCAUGGCCCUUACGAGUAGGGCUACACACGUGCUACAAUGGCGCAUACAAAGAGAAGCGACCUCGCGAGAGCAAGCGGACCUCAUAAAGUGCGUCGUAGUCCGGAUUGGAGUCUGCAACUCGACCCCAUGAAGUCGGAAUCGCUAGUAAUCGUAGAUCAGAAUGCUACGGUGAAUACGUUCCCGGGUCUUGUACACACCG
rnacentral:rRNA from 1 species